rnacentral:rRNA from 1 species
AUUGAACGCUGGCGGCAUGCCUUACACAUGCAAGUCGAACGGCAGCACGGGAGCAAUCCUGGUGGCGAGUGGCGAACGGGUGAGUAAUAUAUCGGAACGUGCCCAGUCGUGGGGGAUAACGCAGCGAAAGCUGUGCUAAUACCGCAUACGAUCUACGGAUGAAAGCGGGGGAUCGCCAGACCUCGCGCGAUUGGAGCGGCCGAUAUCAGAUUAGCUAGUUGGUGGGGUAAAGGCCCACCAAGGCGACGAUCUGUAGCUGGUCUGAGAGGACGAUCAGCCACACUUGGACUGAGACACGGCCCAGACUCCUACGAGAGGCAGCAGUGGGGAAUUUUGGACAAUGGGGGCAACCCUGAUCCAGCAAUGCCGCGUGAGUGAAGAAGGCCUUCGGAUUGUAAAGCUCUUGUGUCAGGGAAGAAACACCGGCUCUAACACAGUCCGGGAAUGACGGUACCUGAAGAAUAAGCACCGGCUAACUACGUGCCAGCCGCCGCAGUAA